ensembl:lncRNA
GCCAAGAGCAGGAAACAGGUGGACUCUGCGGAGGCCCAGACGGGGCAGUGGGACGUGAGGAGGCCCAUGUCUGGGCCACGGGGAGGUGCGCAGCGAAAUGAAAAGGGCUCCCUUCUGAGUUCCCAGGCUGUGGCGUCUCAGGCCCUCAGCUGGGUUUCAGGUUGCUGCGGGGCAAGGCAAUGAGCUGACUCAUAGAAAGCUCUGAUGUGACAGUGUGGUGGCAAGAAUCUUAUCCAGUCUCAUCUUCCAACUCCUAUCACAACCCACCCCUGAGAAGCUGCUGCCCGGCAGCUGAGAGCACGGUUUGCACCAUGUGAAAAUGAGAGUGAAACCCCCGGGGGCGGCCCGCUGAAAUAUGUGCAAAAUGAAAGAAGCCCUCCCCAAGGCCUGCAGAGUUUCUUCCUUCUCUUCAAUCUGCAAAGCACCGGAUUUCACUGCUGCCAGAGAAAAAUACCAGGGUCAGCGUCGCGGGCCCUGCGGCCUUCCAAAUGGAUCAUCCUUCGAGUUAGUCAGAGCCGCCUUGCACACACUCCUGUAUUUCACAGGAUCCCAGCAGGGCUGCUGCCCCUCAAGAGGUGUGUGGUCUCCAGGGCACCAGCUCUACAGCCAUGCACAGCAGCCGCCUGUCUGCACCCUGUAGGCACUGGGGAUUCUGACUCUUGCCACAGAACUGAAGCUCUUAAGUUUUUGAAGGUCAUGGAUAUAAUUCAGGGGAUCCAAGGAC